GACUGUGACACACAGCCCCGCACUCUCCCGAGAGGCCGCAGAGGCGACCGAAAUCCCCUCCCACUGCCCACUGACCCAGCCAGUGGCUGUGCACUUGCAGGACAGACGGCAGCCAGUCCGCAGGAAGACCGCAUGGGCGCACCGCCCGCUACCCGGAGUCCGUCCUCACGGCGCUCGGCAGGGGUAACACGCCCGAAGACUCAGUGAGGACACGGCAGGGCUCGAGUGCUAGGCCUCGUCUCCUCUGGGCCGAAUGGAUCGAGAUGGCUGAAGAGGAUGGGCUGAUCAACGACAUCAAUGAGUUGGCGCAGUCUAACCAGGAGGCGAUCCUGCCCCUGCAGGCUGGACUUGCGGGCCACUGUCCCUGAGAAGAGGACCAUCAGGCAGAUGACUAUGCCCCGCAUGGUGCCAGGACGGGGUCUCACAGGCGCCGGGAGAGCCAGACCUCGGUCUGCCUUUUCACCUCGGCUUGACUGUGAGCAGCCUGCCAGUAGGGCUGCGUAUUUAUUCAUCCUUCAGGGAGAGCUAAAGCCCUCCCAUCACCGCCUGGAAAUCUUUGUCAAGUGGAUGAAGAUGGAAUUCCACGCAAGCGGAAAGUUGUGCAGGCGGCACCUUAGCACCCGCACCGGCCUUGAGCACCUCACGGUCAUUUCGGUAGCGCGCUGGGUAGCGCCCGGGAAGGUUUCUGGUAAUAACACACCUACACAGAUGUGCUGCAGG